GAACAAGGCGAGCGGGCGGUGGAGGUUGCGGUUGCUCCUCCCCGCCGCUAGGGGGCACCGUGCGGCGCUGCUGCCGGCCGCUCCCUUUCCUCCAGCCCGGCCAAUCUCGUUGGCGCCGGUGGGUCCCUCUCUCCGCGGCCCGGCCUGGCCCGUCUCGUUGACGGCGGAAGAUGGCGGAGGAGACCCCAGUCUGCAGCUUCCUGUUCAAGAAGCGGGGCCCGGCGGCCGGCAGGGGGCGGCGCAAACGCCCGGGCGGCGACCAGGAGCAGGGGAGCAGCAGCGAUGAGGGGAGCACGGUGGUCAGGAAGGAGAGGCGGCGGGAAACCCACAACCCCAUGAUCCAGAAGACCAGGAAAAGUGGUAAAGAGAAGACCUCGUAUGGGGCAAGCAGCAGUGAUGAUGAGGGGAAGUCGCAAGGAAUCGGGGUCGCUUACAAAUCAACGAGAUCGGCGAAACCUGUAGGUCCGGAGGACAUGGGAGCGACGGCUGUGUAUGAGCUGGACACUGAGAAGGAGAGAGAUGCCCAGGCCAUCUUUGAGCGCAGCCAGAAAAUCCAGGAGGAGCUACGAGGGAAGGAGGAUGAUAAAAUUUACCGGGGGAUCAAUAACUAUCAAAAGUACGUGAAGCCCAAAGAUACAUCGAUGGGGAACGCCUCCUCGGGAAUGGUCAGGAAAGGCCCGAUCCGAGCGCCGGAGCACCUGAGGGCCACCGUGCGAUGGGACUAUCAGCCCGACAUCUGUAAAGACUACAAGGAAACGGGCUUCUGUGGCUUUGGAGACAGUUGUAAGUUCCUCCAUGACCGCUCUGACUAUAAACACGGCUGGCAGAUUGAACGGGAACUGGACGAAGGACGCUACGGAGUCAACGACGAGGAAAACUAUGAGGUGAGCAGCGAUGAUGAGGACCUGCCCUUCAAGUGUUUCAUCUGCAGAAGCUCCUUCAAGAACCCUGUGAUUACCAAGUAAGCAGCCAACUCUGGUGCUGGGAUGGGGACACAGCGAUCUGGUUUUUAGAUCAUUUACUGAGUCCAUCCCUCACUCUCCGUGGCCAGUGUUAUUACCCUCCUCAGGGUAACGCUGCAUCUGGGCCUUUCAGUUUCUAGCUGCCUGGACCCUUCCCUGGCGUUUUUCCAGCACCUUCCCUCCAAGGCUCCCAAAAUGCAUUCAUUGCCAUUGUAAAGCACUUCCCAUUGUAACAGCAGCUGUUUUAUUCUGGCUUUCAUCACCAGUCUUGAGAUUUUUUUUUUCAUCCCAAUGCUUUACCGCUGCUCAGUUCCCCCCGGGGUCCCAAGGGAGUGAGCAGUCAGCGCCCUCCUAUCUCCAGGUGCCUCCCAGAGAUGGUGCCUCCCCUGCAGCCACAGUCCUUUGUGGGAGACUUACCCUGGCCCCCUUGUUCCCUUCCGGCAGGUGCAGACACUACUUCUGCGAGAGCUGCGCCCUGGAGCACUACCGCAAAUCCAAGCGCUGCUACGUGUGCGACCAGCAAACCAAUGGUGUCUUCAACCCAGCCAAAG